AGUGAACGCUGGCGGCAGGCCUAAUACAUGCAAGUCGAACGGCAGCACAGCAGAGCUUGCUCUGUGGGUGGCGAGUGGCGGACGGGUGAGGAAUACGUGGGAAUCUGCCCAGUCGUGGGGGAUAACGUAGGGAAACUUACGCUAAUACCGCAUGCGCCCUUCGGGGAAAGCCGGGGACCUUCGGGCCUGGCGCGAUUGGAUGAGCCCACGUCGGAUUAGCUAGUUGGCGGGGUAAAGGCCCACCAAGGCGACGAUCCGUAGCUGGUCUGAGAGGAUGAUCAGCCACACUGGAACUGAGACACGGUCCAGACUCCUACGGGAGGCAGCAGUAGGGAAUAUUGGACAAUGGGCGCAAGCCUGAUCCAGCCAUGCCGCGUGAGUGAAGAAGGCCCUCGGGUUGUAAAGCUCUUUGUCCGGAAAGAAAGCGCCGGGUUAAUACCCUGGUGUCCUGACGGUACCGGAAGAAUAAGCACCGGCUAACUUCGUGCCAGCAGCCGCGGUAA
rnacentral:rRNA from 1 species